UACGUAGGGCGCGAGCGUUGUCCGGAAUUAUUGGGCGUAAAGAGCUCGUAGGCGGCCCUGUCGCGUCCGCUGUGAAAUCCCGGGGCUUAACCCCGGGCCUGCAGUGGAUACGGGCAGGCUGGAGGCAGGCAGGGGGAGAACGGAAUUCCCGGUGUAGCGGUGAAAUGCGCAGAUAUCGGGAGGAACACCGGUGGCGAAGGCGGAUCUCUGGGCCAUAACUGACGCUGAGGAGCGAAAGCUAGGGGAGCAAACGGGG
rnacentral:rRNA from 1 species